GUAGGGGGCAAGCGUUGUCCGGAAUCAUUGGGCGUAAAGAGCGUGUAGGCGGUCCGGUAAGUCGGCUGUGAAAGUCCAGGGCUCAACUCUGGGAUGCCGGUCGAUACUGCCGGACUAGAGUUCGGAAGAGGCGAGUGGAAUUCCCGGUGUAGCGGUGAAAUGCGCAGAUAUCGGGAGGAACACCUAUGGCGAAGGCAGCUCGCUGGGACGUUACUGACGCUGAGACGCGAAAGCGUGGGGAGCAAACAGGAUUAGAUACCCUGGUAGUCCACGCCGUAAACGAUGGGCACUAGGUGUGGGAGGUGUCGACUCCUCCCGUGCCGGAGCUAACGCAUUAAGUGCCCCGCCUGGGGAGUACGGCCGCAAGGCUA
rnacentral:rRNA from 1 species